rnacentral:lncRNA from 1 species
AUAUCAUGGGUGGCGACGUAUGGUUGGCUUAGUCCGCUGGCGGCGGAGAGCCCUACCUGAACCUGCUCGGGAAGAAAGCCGCUCAAAUCGUACUCAUAGCUGACCUCAACCGUCUUCCAGCCGUUGGUGGCGGUGACGGUGAUCAUCUUCGUGGCUCCGACGUAGUUAAUCCGCGCACUCACCAGCUGCCUGAUUAUGCCAUCGCUGAACUCCGUCGUGUUGCUGGAUUCCCUAGAUCCGAUGUCGAUGCCGAUGUGAGGAUAGCUCGGAUCCCACGGGUUGUUGACAAAGGUGUCAAACUCGACGGCGAAGACCGAUGGGCUAUUUCCGGAGACUCCGAAGAUUCCGAGGUUGCCCCCGCUGCCGCCGUUGGGGAGUGGUGGAGGCCGGCGGGGGCCAGUGAAGAAGGUGAUGCCGUCAGCGGUGAGGUUGGUGGGGCGUGGGUGUGAUUAUGAAGUUUACGGUGGUUCAAGUCGACUUGGCCGCCGGCUUGGGAGAACUGGACCGGGUUCGAGUGCAAGACCCGGCCGACACUGCCUAUCGUCGGGAAGGUGAGGCGGAGGAAGGGGGAGUUCCAUACGAAAUGGGCGUGGCCUUGGUAGGUGAGAUCGGUCGGCAAGUCGCUCCAGAAGUCGUAGGUGAAGGACGUCGAUUGGGACUGCGCAGUGUUGGCGGCAGCGGCGAGGAGGAGGAUGAUGGAGGAGAGGAGAGGAAUUAGGGUUUGGAGGAGCUUAGCCAUGGCUUAAUUGAGUAUAUUUAGAUGUGGUGGAUGAUGGUGGUAUCUCUUGCUCCUAUUUAUAGUGAAUAGUGUAUAGAGUAUAGUGUAUAUAUGCAUGAUAUUAUGAUUUAAUUUCCUAUGAAUUAUUGAACUUUCAUCAAAUUUUUAUUUUAUAUAUAAACUUCAAAUUAAAUGUAGCGUGAUAAUCACUAAAUUUAUUUAAUCUUAUAUUUGCUACCAAUCAGGAUUCUAGCCAAAUUUACUGUUGACAUUACAAAGUCGAGGAUAUCCUAAGAUGGAUUGAAACAUUAAGAUAUUCCAAGGAUCUUAAUAAUUUCUAUCAUUUGCCAUAAUUUUAUUUGAUUCAUAUCUCAUUGAAAGAAUAUGAUUUUUAUCCCCUCGUUCACAAGAUUGUAUGGUGAACUCAGGACAUGAGUUUUAAUAAAUACUUCUUCUGUCCCCAAAAUACUUUCUAUGAGAGAGGGGCACGAGUAUUAAGACAAAUUGUUGAGUAUAUUCGAAGUGGUUAAAAAGUGUUAGUAUUAAAAAUGAUGAAAAUGUGUUAUAAUUAGUAUUUGAAGUGGUGAAAAGGUAAAAAAAAAAUAGAGUAAAUGGAGUAUAUAUUAUUAGUGGGGUAGUGUUCUAAAAUGAAAAAUGAAGUUAUUUGAAGGACAAUCCGAAAAGAAAAGUUAGAAAGCUAUUUGGAGGACGGGGUAAAUUGGAGAUAUGUAGAAAGUGUAGAAGGAUCCACCAAAAUUGAGUGGAGAAAAAGCUCCACCAAAGUUGAUGUGUUAAAAAUGGUUUGAAUAUUUUGUAAAUAUUGAAUGUGAAUGAUGUUUAAAAUAUAAGGGGCGUAGUUUCCAAAUAAAGAAAGUAUACAAUCUUUAUGGACAGACGAAAAUNUUUUAUUUGUAGAUUUAGAGCAGACUCGAUCGCUUAGCCCUUAUUUAUUUACGACACACACAUCACAAAAUCACACAUAUUGACGAAUAAUGUUGCCGGCCAGCUCCUUCCUGCUCCUCGCGCCAGAAUUUGUUUGCACCAUGGUGGCCUUGAAAUUCCACAAGACGAUAUCAUGGGUGGCGACGUAUGGUUGGCUUAGUCCGCUGGCGGCGGAGAGCCCUACCUGAACCUGCUCAGGAAGAAAGCCGCUCAAAUCGUACUCAUAGCUGACCUCAACCGUCUUCCAGCCGUUGGUGGCGGUGACGGUGAUCAUCUGGGUGGCUCCGACGUAGUUAAUCCGCGCACUCACCAGCUGCCUGAUUAUGCCAUCGCUGAACUCCGUCGUGUUGCUGGAUUCCCUAGAUCCGAUGUCGAUGCCGAUGUGAGGAUAGCUCGGAUCCCACGGGUUGUUGACAAAAGUGUCAAACUCGACGGCGAAGACCGAUGGGCUAUUUCCGGAGACUCCGAAGAUUCCGAGGUUGCCCCCGCUGCCGCCGUUGGGGAUGGUGGAGCCGACGGGGGCCAUGAAGAAGGUGAUGCCGUCAGCGGUGAGGUUGGUGGGGCUGGGUGUGAUUAUGAAGUUUACGGUGGUUUCAAAGUCGACUUGGCCGCCGGCUUGGGAGAACUGGACCGGGUUCGAGUGCAAGACCCGGCCGACACUGCCUAUCGUCGGGAAGGUGAGGCGGAGGAAGGGGGAGUUCCAUACGAAAUGGGCGUGGCCUUGGUAGGUGAGAUCGGUCGGCAAGUCACUCCAGAAGUCGUAGGUGAAGGACGUCGAUUGGGACUGCGCAGUGUUGGCGGCAGCGGCGAGGAGGAGGAUGAUGGAGGAGAGGAGAGGAAUUAGGGUUUGGAGGAGCUUAGCCAUGGCUUAAUUGAGUAUAUUUAGAUGUGGUGGAUGAUGGUGGUAUCUCUUGCUCCUAUUUAUAGUGAAUAGUGUAUAGUGUAUAGAGUAUAGUGUAUAUAUGCAUGAUAUUAUGAUUUAAUUCCUAUGAAUUAUUAACUUUCAUCAAAUUUUAUUUUAUAUAUAAACUUCAAAUUAAAUGUAGCGUGAUAAUCACUAAAUUUAUUUAAUCUUAUAUUUGCUACCAAUCAGGAUUCUAGCCAAAUUUACUUUGACAUUACAAAGUCGAGGAUAUCCUAAGAUGGAUUGAAACAUUAAGAUAUUCCAAGGAUCUUAAUAAUUUCUAUCAUUUGCCAUAAUUUUAUUUGAUUCAUAUCUCAUUGAAAGAAUAUGAUUUUUAUCCCCUCCGUUCACAAAGAUUGUAUGGUGAACUCAGGACAUGAGUUUUAAUAAAUACUUCUUCGUCCCCAAAAUAACUUUCUAUGAGAGAGGGGCACGAGUUUAAGAAAAAUUGUUGAGUUAUUCGAAGUGGUUAAAAAGUGUUAGUAUUAAAUGAUGAAAAUGUGUUAUAAUUAGUAUUUGAAGUGGUGAAAAGGUAAAAAAAAAUAGAGUAAAUGGAGUAUAUAUUAUUAGUGGGGUAGUGUUCUAAAAUGAAAAAUGAAGUUAUUUGAAGGACAAUCCGAAAAGAAAAGUUAGAAAGCUAUUUGGAGGACGGGGUAAAUUGGAGAUAUGUAGAAAGUGUAGAAGGAUCCACCAAAAUUGAGUGGAGAAAAAGCUCCACCAAAGUUGAUGUGUUAAAAAUGGUUUGAAUAUUUUGUAAAUAUUGAAUGUGAAUGAUGUUUAAAAUAUAAGGGGCGUAGUUUCCAAAUAAAGAAAGUAUACAAUCUUUAUGGACAGACGAAAAUAAUAAUAAACAUACAAUCUUUGUGGAUUGAGGGAGUGAUAAACAUUUCAUUCAUUUAUUGUGGUUUGGAAUCGAUCUUUAUCAACAUUACAUGCAUUCACAAAUAUGAAGAAGGAUUUAAAACGUGUGACACCUUAUUUUAUAUUUAAAAUCGCAAUCACGAAGAGGACCACACUUAUCCUCUAAUCAAUGCUCUCCAUUAUUUUAUAGGAAAGGAUAAACAUGAUUCUUGGUUUAUUUAUGCUUUUAAUAUAUACUAAUUAGAUGAUUUUUGGGACAAAAAGUGAAGAUUUUGAUGUCCGACGGAGUCAAGUAAGAAGUUGAAAAAUCGAUUUUGAUGCAAUUUUAGAAGAUCCAAAGAUGAUAAGAUCUGUGCUUGAGGGAACUUAUUUUGCAUAAGAAAGACUUUCAUUAAUUUCUUAAUUCGAGUAUAAAAUUAGAGGAUUAAAACCACACUAAUGUUCCUUUGGCUUUUCCUUGAACAAUGUUGGGUAGCUAGUGAAUUUUCUUUGGUAAGUUCGUCCUUUUCUUUGACAAUGAGAAUUGACGUAAAUUGGAUUGUAUUGAAGAUUCUAGUAACAUUAUUCUAGUUUAUAUUUCAUGAUUUAAGGGCUGAAAAUAUGUAAGUAUGUUCAAGGCUAAAUUUUAGGUAAAUAAGUGCUCCAUACUUUGUUAAUAUGCCACUUUACAAAUAAUGUAUGUGUGAACUUGAAUUUGUUUUUUCAUUUAAAGAGAACUAAUAAUGAUAUCCAUUUCCCCCGUGAUGAUUCGAACCCCCAACUUAACAAUUACUGGUGAAACGUUUUAUCCAUGUGAUGACUCUAACCCCCCAAUUUAUAAUUAAUGAUUGGAUGGGAAGCGUAUUGAGGUUGUUAGUGAUUCUUCCAAGGUUAUUUUGUAACUAUGAACUAUCGAUUUUGUAUCAAUUGUACCCUGCAUUUGAUUUUUAGCUAGAGAAAACAUAAGAAAAUAAAUGAGACAUUUAAAGGCAUAAAUUAUAUCCCUUAUUUUCUCAUCCAUCAAAGUGAACGCACCCUUAAAGUGAUGGUUUGAUAAAAUAAAGUGAUUGUUUCUACACUAAACCUAAUUGCGUUCGGCCUUUUUCGUUAUUUUAGUAUUUUCCUCAUUUAUUUUCAAUUUUGUUUCCUAUAUACGGAUAUUUGAUGUAUGAGAAGAUGCUUUCAUAUGAUCAUUUUCAGAAAUAAAAUUAUUUAUUUUCUUUCUCACGAAGAGCGCUCACUUUGACAUCAGUAUCGCAUGAGCUGCACAUAAUUAAUGAAAGAAAAUAAGCAUACACUUGCAUUAUAUAAGAAGAGCAUAUAUACUCGCAGCCGUUUCUCAUAAAUUUCACGCAGUUUUUCGAUCUUUAGAGCCGCCGGCAUGCUCGGCAGAUCUGAAACUCCAGUAGUUGAUAUCGUGAAGGGCGACGAGGUCGCCGGUGGAGGAGGCGAUUCCGACCUGAACCUGCGACGGAAGAAUUUCCCCCAAAUCAUACUCGUAUUCGAGAAGGCGAGUUUCUUUGUCGCAUUUGAGCGUAACGUCGAUGAAAUUGAUGCCGUCGUAUUGUAUGUGCAGCUGCGCCUCUUUCCCGAUGCACGAAUCGCCAAAUUUCACGAAGUUGCUCGACUUUAUCGAGCUGAUGUCGAUGCCGAUGUGCGGGAGAUCGUGGCUCGGAUCCCAACCGUUGGAGUAGAGGUCGAAUUCCACGGCAAAGAAGGCGGAGGCGGCCGGGCUAUCUCCCGAGGGGUCGAAUAGGCCUAGAUUGCCUCCGUAGGAGCCCGGGGGGAUGGUGGUCCCCACGGGCGCCAUUAAGAAGGCGAUGCCGUCCGCGGCGGGGCCUUUUGUGGGGGUGAUGGUGAAUUUUAUGGUGGUAUUGAAAGAUACUACAAUUGAAUUUUCCCACAAUUUGAAGGGUUUGGAGUACAAUACGCGGCCGACGCUCGACGGCCGUGGGAGGCCGUUGGCGUCGGUUUUGGUUAGCCGGAGGGAACGGGCGCCAUCGGGGACGUGGGCGUCGCCCUGGUAGGUUAGGUCGGUGGAGUUGGCGACGAAGGAGGCGAAGGUGAAGGAGGUCUUUUGUGAGGUUGCCUUGUUUGCUAGCAUUAGGAAAAAUGCUAUGCAAAAGAGGAGAAGAAUUAGGGUUUGUAGAAGCUUGGCCAUGGCUUGAUUUGAUGGGUGGAGUAUUAUUUGGAUGUGGUGAAUAGUUGUUGUCUCUCUAGCCCUAUUUAUAUUGGUCUAAUGUUACAUUCCAUUAUUAGUUUAAUAUAUUGUAGCUCACUAUUUUUUUUUUACUUUAUGUAUAAAGUGAAUAAAGAGGCUCACUAAAGUUGAUUUGGUAGGUAUUAAUAAAUUAUUUGUGAGAUAAAUUUUUUGUAAAUAUUGUGUGUGAAUGAGGGUAAAAUAUAAAGGUACAUAUGUCUUAAAAGGGACGGAAAUGACAAAUACUUAUUAUAGACGCCAAUAAUUCCGCCCAGGAUUGUUGAUGGGAAAUUAGACACAACUAAUUCCGCCCGGGAUCAAGUGUGAUUCAAUAUUGUGGAUAUCGACCGAUAUGAAACGAGAAGAAAAAUGACACCGAUAUUUUUAACGUGGUUCGGCCAAACUGCCUACGUCCACGGACCCACACCAAUAUAUUAGAGAAUCUCAAAAGGAGGAGUACAACAAUACCACACUGUAUUUUGUAUCUGCCUACGCAGAGGCUAUCUCUCAACUCACUUUUAUCACUCGUGUAUAACUUCCACACUGAAGUUUUCUCUCACAAGAUUUUUUCUCUCUAUCUCUCACUCUAUCUCUCCUAGCUGAACUGGGGGUGUUGGGUGUUGGGUGUAUAGGAUGCUGCUG